UCUAAAUCAUGUUCCUUGCGUGAUCAUCGACUCCUUGAUUCUCGACGACACCCGCUGCACAAAAGACCACCUAGGGUACCACCUAGGCGGGUUGCCGGUCUAAAACACCGACACUCACAUAGGUGAUCUAAGAGUACUUUUGAUGUUGUCACUUAGCUAAUGUUGCAUCCCUCUUGAUAGUACCACAUACCUAUACUCAAGAAUAAAUAUAAACUCUAUAUCCUCCACUUGAGCUUGAAAGUCAUCAUCUAUGCCAUAGUUCGAUCAAUAGUCAUUUGAGGGCUCUUAACAUAGCUAUCAUCUUGAGAACAUCCAUCUUGAGCUAGUGACUUAGGAUUCUCCCUUGUUCAUGAUAAGAUAUACUUGAAUCCUUUAGUCACUCCAUUUUACCAAUUACAAUAGAUUGAAUGCAUUGCAUUACUUCCCUCGGUAAGGCCUAGAUAUAAUACUUCGAAACCCUCCCCCCCAGAUACUAGCCACUUCACCUUAGCAAAACGCACAUGGCCCAAGCUGUCGCUUGUCCAAAGCUUGCUUAGUCCCUUGCUCUAGUAUCUCGCUUAAUUUUUUCACCUAUUCUUGCC
rnacentral:lncRNA from 1 species